AGAUGUAAGACCUAAUGGAGAUUGUCAGGCACUGAGGAUAUGUUCUUGUGGGACCUAGUCUUUCUGCUCUCCUCUUUUGGCCUGAGGUGAGCCACUGUGUUCCACUCUCACUGGCUUCACGUUCACCACAGAGAGCUAGACGUGUUAUACAGCCAUGAGUUAGCCACCCAAAGCAGUCAGUGGAAAUAAACUUUCUUCUGUUUGAGAUGAUUAUAUCAGAUGGGGGUGGUUUAGUGUGUGUGUUCAAUGCAUGUGUGUUUCUGUGCAUAUACACAUUGAAAGACCCCAGCUUAGCAGCAGUAACGCCAUUUUGCAAGGCUGUACUUAAGAUGACUGGUUCAGAGAAAGGUUAAAACACUGAGUACAAAGCAGCUGCCAAGCAGGAUGUGUUUGGUUGAAGGCCUGGCAACAGGACGACUGCGGUUGAGCACCUGACAAUGAAAAAAGCCCUGGGAGAGGUCCCACACCCUGGUGGGGGGCCGAGUCAGUCGUUAUGUUCCAAGAAGGUAGCUAGGAAACUUGCCCCCGGGCUGAACCCUUGGGGGGCCGAGUCAGCCGUUAUGUUUCAGGAAGGUAGCUAGGAAACUUGCCCCCGGGCUAAACCCUUGCCAUAUUAGAAUCCACCAAUUAUAUCCCUGUAACCAUGCAUCUGCUUCUGUAUGCUUGCUUCUGCUCCCCAAAAUCCUAUAAAAGCCCAUCCUUGGUUCUGUGGGGCGCGCCAGUCCCCCGAGUGACUGAAGCGCCCGCAGGUGCCUGUGCCUGUGUAUCCCGACAAUAAACCAAAUCCUCUUGCUGAUUGCAUCCUGUGGUGUCUCGGUCUGGUCUUUGGAGUUGGAGGGUCUCCAUCCCGAGGGAAAGUUCUCCCUGAGAGCUUUUCAUUUGGUGCGUUGGCCGGGAAAGGAGAUCCUCCACCCAGGGACCACCGACCACCCACUGGGAGGUAAGCCGGCCGGCGUCUGUCUGUCUGUCUGAUUUUGUCUCGUUCUGUCUUAUUCUGUCUGUUCUGUGAGCACUCAGCCAGGUCUGUUCUGUGAGCGCUCAGCCAGGUCUGUUCUGUGAGCGCUCAGCCAGGUCUGUUCUGUGAGCGCUCAGCCAGGUCUGUUCUGUGAGCGCUCAGCCAGGUCUGUUCUGUGAGCGCUCAGCCAGGUUGUUUGGAAUUUGGGCGGGACGAAGAAGGAGCUGACGAGCUCGGACUUCUCGCCCCGCAGCCCUGGAAGACGUUCCAAGGGUGUUAGGGGCCCGACUUUUCGGGGCCCAAUCUGGGAGAGGAGAAAGAUCCAGACUAACGGCACCUCUGUCUGUAUUUUUGGCUUUCAGAGGGCCCCGGACCUUUGCCACCUCCAUCUGACUUUUUGCUUUCAGUUUGGUACCAAAGCCGUGCAGCACGCCUGUCUGUUGUUUGUUUGACUGUUGGUGUUGUUUGUUUUCUCUGUGUUCUAAUCUUCCUUAGAACUAACAUGGGACAGUCCCUAACAAUGCCCCUAAGUCUCACUCUUGAUCAUUGGGAAGACGUCCACGACCGGGCACACAACCAGUCCGUCGAGGUUAAAAAAAAAAGGAAAAUGACAGACUCUCUACACAUCUGAGUGGCCCACUUUCGGAGCGGGAUGGUCAGUGAAUGACACAUUUAAUAAGAUCAUUAUUUUACAGGUUAAAGAUCGGGUCGUCCACGGACAUCCUGACCAGGUUUCUUAUAUUAUCACUUGAGAGAGUCUCGCCUUAAAACUCCCCCCCUGGGCGGAACCCUUCGUGGACCCGAAUUGGCCUCCCCUCAACCCCCAGCCUGUCCCCUCGGCCCCGCCCGGUCCGCCGGCCACGUCUUCCUCUCUCUACCUUUGUGAAAUCAGAGCCUUCUAAGAAACCUGUCCUCCCGGCAGACCCAAACUCCCCUCUCAUAGAUCUUCUCUCUGACAGGCCAGGCUAAAACGGAGGAGGCAGAGCCGCCGGCCAGAUCAGUUGCCGGGCCACAGUCUGAUAAGGGUUUCUCCCCUGUCGCAGGGAGAUUGCGCAAUAAGCGCGAGGUGAUGCCAGAUUCAACCUCCCAGGCUUUCCCACUUAGACAGGGAACCGGUGGCCAGACCCAAUACUGGCCGUUUUCAGCAGCUGACAUUUACAAUCAGAAACAAAACAACCCUUCUUUCUCCAAAGAUCCGGUGGCACUCACCGACCUAAUAGAAUCUGUUUUACUUACCCACCAGCCUACUUGGGAUGACUGCCAACAGCUCUUAUAGGCCCUCUUAACCUCAGAAGAAAAACAAAGAGUGUUCCUAGAGGCCAGAAAGCAUGUUCUGGGAGAUGAUGGGCGUCCCACCCAGCUGCCUGAGGACCAAACUGGGAUUUUAAUACAGCUGAAGGUAAGGGACACCUACGCCUUUAUCGCCAGUUGCUUCUAGCGGGUCUCCGAGGGGCUAUACGACGCCCUACUAAUUUGGCUCAGGUAAAACAGGUAUUACAGGAAGCAGGGGAAACUCCCUCCGCCUUUCUAGAGAGACUUAAGGAGGCCUACCGUAUGUACACUCCCUAUGACCCAGAUGACCCAGGACAAAUGACGAGUGUCUCUAUGUCCUUCAUCUGGCAGGCUGCUCCAGAUAUCAGGACUAAGUUACAGAGGUUAGAAAAUUUGCAGGGCUAUACAUUACAGGAUUUACUUAAAGAAGCUGAAAAGAUUUUUAAUAAGAUAGAGAAUUGAGUCGAAUCUUGGCCGCCGUAGUUCAGGGCCAAGAAAGGAAGGGAGAUAGGGGGGAGCUCGAAAGGGGCUGAAGCUGGAUAAAGAUCAAUGUGCCUAUUACAAAGAGAAAGGGCACUGGGCCAGAGAGUGCCCCAAGAAGCCUGGCGGACCCCGAAAGCCUCGACCACGAACCUCCCUCUUGGCUCUAGAUAAAGAUUAGGGAGGUCAGGGCCAGGAGCCCCCCCCCCCCCCGAGCCCAGGGUAACGCUUAAAGUUGGGGGGCAGCCGGUUACUUUCCUGGUAGACACAGGAGCCCAGCAUUCAGUCCUCACUCAAGCUUCAGGACAACUCAGCGACCAGACGGCCUGGGUACAAGGAGCUACUGGUGAGAAACAAUACCGAUGGACUACGGACCGCCGGGUUCAGCUGGCUACUGGUAAGGUGACCCAUUCCUUCUUACAUGUUCCGGACUGCCCGUACCCUCUGCUGGGCCGUGACCUGCUCACCAAACUAAAAGCACAAAUUCAUUUUGAGGAAAGAGGGGCCCAAAUAACUGGCCCCCACGGAACUCCCCUUCAAGUUCUAACCCUACAACUAGAGGAUGAAUAUAGACUAUAUGAACCAGGACAGGACAAGCCACAAUCCCUAGAAAUAGACACUUGGGUCACGAAUUUUCCACUGGCUUGGGCAGAGACUGGUGGGUUGGGGUUGGCGCUCCAACAGCCCCCCUUAAUUAUACAGUUAAAGACCACUACAACUCCAGUCUCCAUAAAACAAUACCCCCUGUCACAUAAAGCUUAUCAAGGUAUAAGGCUUCACAUUACGAGGCUUCUAGAUCAAGGCAUCCUAGUCCCCUGCCGGUCGCCUUGGAAUACGCCUCUUCUGCCUGUUAAGAAACCCGACACUGGAGAUUAUAGGCCAAUACAAGACUUGAGAAAGGUCAACAAGAGGAUAAAAGAUAUUCAUCCGACUGUUCCAAACCCUUACAAUUUGCUAAGUAACUGUUCAUCGAUGAAAAACAGGGGUAUGCUAAAGGGUCCUAACACAAAGGUUGGGACCCUAGAAACGCCCUGUGGCCUACCUGUCUAAAAAAUUAGACCCUGUGGCCUCCGGCUGGCCACCGUGCCUAAGGAUGGUGGCUGCUAAUGCUGUCCUGAUCAAGGAUGCUAGAAAAUUGACUUUGGGACAGCCACUCACCAUCCUAGCACCCCACACAGUGGAGGCCUUGGUAAAGCAGCCCCCAGACCGCUGGCUCUCUAAUUCCCACAUGACCCACUACCAAGCCUUGUUACUGGAUGCAGAACGGGUUCAGUUUGGGCCCGUAGUCGCCCUCAAUCCUGCCACCUUGCUUCCUCUACCAGAGGAGGCAGAACAACAUGACUGCCUACAAAUCCUCACAGAAGUACAUGGAACCAGGCCGGACCUAUCGGACCAGCCUCUUCAGAAUGCUGACCACACAUGGUACACGGAUGACAACAGCUUCUUGGCAGAGGGAGAGCGAAAGGCUAGAGCUGCGGUCACUACGGAAGACAAAGUGAUUUGGGCGAAAGCCCUGCCUGCUGGUACCUCCGCACAACGGGCUGAACUCAUCGCCUUGACUCAGGCGCUCAAGAUGACAAAAGGUUAGAGGCUAAAUAUAUAUACAGACAGCCGUUAUGCCUUUGCCACGGCACACAUCCACGGAGAGAUCUACCGGAGGCGGGGGCUGCUCACAUCUGAGGGUCAAGAUAUGGCUAAAAUUCUGGCCCUCUUAGAAGCCCUAUUCUUGCCCAAAAGACUGAGUAUUAUACAUUGUCCAGGACACCAGAAAGGGCACAACCCAGAGGCACGAAGAAACCGGCUGGCCGAUGCCACGGCGCGAGAAGCGGCCAUGAGCAAACAAAUCUUGCCCUUAAAUAGCCCAGACCAACCCACGCCCCCACCAGUGGGACAAACCAGUUGGGUUUAUGCCCAUGAGGACAUAGAGCUCCUAAAAAAAUGGGGGCCAUCUACCACCCUCAACUAAAACAGUGGGUCUACAAAGGACUUUUGAAUUGAUCUCCUUUUUACAUAAAUUAACCCAAUUGGGGUUUAAGAAGAUGAAAACCUUACUAGAUCGGGAAGAGAUAAAUCUGUGUUUUUUGAAUCGGGACAAAGCGAUACAAAAGGUGACUGAGAGUUGCAAAGCAUGCGCUCAGGUUAACCCGGGAAGGACCAGGAUUGGACAAGGAGUUCGUCCUAGGGGACACCGUCCCGACAUCCAUUGGGAAAUUGAUUUUACUGAAAUUAAACCAGGUAUAUAUGGAUACAAGUAUCUCCUAGUGUUUGUAGACACCUUCUCAGGAUGGGUCGAAGCCUUCCCCACAAAGCACGAGACUACAAAAAUGGUCACUAAGAAGCUCCUCGAGGAAAUCUUUCCCAGGUAUGGCAUGCCUCAAGCGUUGGGGUCGGACAACGGGCCCGCUUUCGUCUCCCAAGUAAGUCAGUUGGUGGCCAAAUUGCUGGGGAUUGAUUGGAAAUUACAUUGUGCCUAUAGACCCCAGAGUUCAGGUCAGGUAGAACGCAUGAAUAGAACAAUUAAGGAGACUUUAUCCAAACUUACGCUUGCAACUGGCUCAAAGGAUUGGGUGGCCCUCCUUCCCCUAGUUCUAUAUCGGGCCCGGAAUACCCCGGGCCCCCAUGGUCUAACUCCUUUUGAAAUAAUGUAUGGAGCACCACCCCCAUUUGUCCAUUUCUUUGAUUCAAACAUUGCUGAUUUUGCUGACAGCCCUUCUCUGAGGGCCCAUUUACAGGCCCUACAGAUUGUGCAGAGAGACGUCUGGAGACCUUUGGCCGCUGCUUACCAGGACAAGCUUGAGCAUCCGGUGGUGCCACACCCGUUCCAGAUUGGAGACACCGUGUGGGUGCACAGACACCAGACCAAGAAUCUCGAGCCACGGUGGAAAGGACCCUACACCGUCCUCCUGAGAUCCACGCACGUCAAGGCAGUCCGGUCUGAGGAAUUGACUAAUCACAACACUACACCCCAGACAUGGAGAGUUCAGCGCACUCCAAACCCCUUAAAGUUAAAACUCCUACGUGGCUCCUCCUAGCCCUUUUGUGGCCUAGAGUCAGUGGGGGAAUAAGCCCCCACUAGACAGAAAUUUCUUGACCAAGUCGAGUGAAAGAUUUCACUCAAAGUUAGCAAAAAAAAAAAAAAAAAAGGGGGAAUGAAAGACCCCAGCUUAGCAGCAGUAACGCCAUUUUGCAAGGCUGUACUUAAGAUGACUGGUUCAGAGAAAGGUUAAAACACUGAGUACAAAGCAGCUGCCAAGCAGGAUGUGUUUGGUUGAAGGCCUGGCAACAGGACGACUGCGGUUGAGCACCUGACAAUGAAAAAAGCCCCGGGAGAGGUCCCACACCCUGGUGGGGGGCCGAGUCAGUCGUUAUGUUCCAAGAAGGUAGCUAGGAAACUUGCCCCCGGGCUAAACCCUUGCCAUAUUAGAAUCCACCAAUUAUAUCCCUGUAACCAUGCAUCUGCUUCUGUAUGCUUGCUUCUGCUCCCCAAAAUCCUAUAAAAGCCCAUCCUUGGUUCUGUGGGGCGCGCCAGUCCCCCGAGUGACUGAAGCGCCCGCAGGUGCCUGUGCCUGUGUAUCCCGACAAUAAACCAAAUCCUCUUGCUGAUUGCA